UUGUUCAAUGUUAGGGUAUGGCUACACUUGACAUUUCAGAGCGCUGCCGCGGCAGCACUUUGAAAUGUGAGUGCAGUCGGAGCGCCAGCU